UACAGAGGUCCCAAGCGUUGUUCGGAUUCAUUGGGCGUAAAGGGUGCGUAGGCGGCGCGGUAAGUCGGGUGUGAAAUCUCGGGGCUUAACUCCGAAACUGCACUCGAUACUGCCGUGCUUGAGGACUGGAGAGGAGACUGGAAUUUACGGUGUAGCGGUGAAAUGCGUAGAUAUCGUAAGGAAGACCAGUGGCGAAGGCGGGUCUCUGGACAGUUCCUGACGCUGAGGCACGAAGGCCAGGGGAGCAAACGGG
rnacentral:rRNA from 1 species